UGAGGAAUUAUGCGCAAUGGACGAAAGUCUGACGCUGCGACGUCGCGUGGGUGAUGAAGUACCUCUGGUAUGUAAACCGCUGUCGGGGGUAGAACCAAUGAUCACCCCCAAAGGAAGUGGCGACUAACUCUGUGCCAGCAGUCGCGGUAAUACAGAGGCCACAAGCGUUAGUCGGAUUCAUUGGGCGUAAAGAGCUCGUAGGCCGCUCUGUAAGUCGGAAGUGAAAGACCACGGCUCAACCGUGGAAACGCUUUCGAAACUGUGGAGCUUGAGGCCGGGAGAGGAGAUCGGAAUUCCUGGUGUAGCGGUGAAAUGCGUAGAUAUCAGGAGGAACACCCGUGGCGAAGGCGGAUCUCUGGACCGGUUCUGACGCUGAGGAGCGAAAGCUAGGGGAGCAAACAGGAUUAGAUACCCCAGUAGUCCCUGAGCGGGCUGGCAAGGCGCAU
rnacentral:rRNA from 1 species